UACAGAGGGUGCGAGCGUUAAUCGGAGUUACUGGGCGUAAAGGGCGCGUAGGCGGUUAAGCGAGUGUGAUGUGAAAGCCCCGGGCUUAACCUGGGAAGUGCAUCGCAAACGGCUGAACUAGAGUAGAUGAGAGGGUGAUGGAAUUUCCGGUGUAGCGGUGAAAUGCGUAGAGAUCGGAAGGAACGUCGAUGGCGAAGGCAGUCACCUGGCAUCAUACUGACGCUGAGGCGCGAGAGCGUGGGGAGCAAACAGG
rnacentral:rRNA from 1 species